rnacentral:miRNA from 1 species
AUUUUUUCUGUGUUGGUGCAAUGUACUCAGGUGAAUAUGAUGCUUGUGAUGUUACUCUGAGUGUAUAUAGUAAGAUCAGAGUAACAUCACAAGCAUCAUAUUCACCCGAGUACAUUACACCAACACAGAAAAAAUCACAAUGUAUA